rnacentral:misc_RNA from 1 species
AUAACAUGCAUACAGAGACCACAGUGGGUACAACGACGAUAG